AUGAACGCUAGCUACAGGCUUAACACAUGCAAGUCGAGGGGCAGCAUGGUCUUAGCUUGCUAAGGCCGAUGGCGACCGGCGCACGGGUGAGUAACACGUAUCCAACCUGCCGUCUACUCUUGGACAGCCUUCUGAAAGGAAGAUUAAUACAAGAUGGCAUCAUGAGUCCGCAUGUUCACAUGAUUAAAGGUAUUCCGGUAGACGAUGGGGAUGCGUUUCAUUAGAUAGUAGGCGGGGUAACGGCCCACCUAGUCUUCGAUGGAUAGGGGUUCUGAGAGGAAGGUCCCCCACAUUGGAACUGAGACACGGUCCAAACUCCUACGGGAGGCAGCAGUGAGGAAUAUUGGUCAAUGGGCGAGAGCCUGAACCAGCCAAGUAGCGUGAAGGAUGACUGCCCUAUGGGUUGUAAACUUCUUUUAUAAAGGAAUAAAGUCGGGUAUGCAUACCCGUUUGCAUGUACUUUAUGAAUAAGGAUCGGCUAACUCCGUGCCAGCAGCCGCGGUAAUACGGAGGAUCCGAGCGUUAUCCGGAUUUAUUGGGUUUAAAGGGAGCGUAGAUGGAUGUUUAAGUCAGUUGUGAAAGUUUGCGGCUCAACCGUAAAAUUGCAGUUGAUACUGGAUAUCUUGAGUGCAGUUGAGGCAGGCGGAAUUCGUGGUGUAGCGGUGAAAUGCUUAGAUAUCACGAAGAACUCCGAUUGCGAAGGCAGCCUGCUAAGCUGCAACUGACAUUGAGGCUCGAAAGUGUGGGUAUCAAACAGGAUUAGAUACCCUGGUAGUCCACACGGUAAACGAUGAAUACUCGCUGUUUGCGAUAUACAGCAAGCGGCCAAGCGAAAGCGUUAAGUAUUCCACCUGGGGAGUACGCCGGCAACGGUGAAACUCAAAGGAAUUGACGGGGGCCCGCACAAGCGGAGGAACAUGUGGUUUAAUUCGAUGAUACGCGAGGAACCUUACCCGGGCUUAAAUUGCAGAUGAAUUACGGUGAAAGCCGUAAGCCGCAAGGCAUCUGUGAAGGUGCUGCAUGGUUGUCGUCAGCUCGUGCCGUGAGGUGUCGGCUUAAGUGCCAUAACGAGCGCAACCCUUGUUGUCAGUUACUAACAGGUCAUGCUGAGGACUCUGACAAGACUGCCAUCGUAAGAUGUGAGGAAGGUGGGGAUGACGUCAAAUCAGCACGGCCCUUACGUCCGGGGCUACACACGUGUUACAAUGGGGGGUACAGAGGGCCGCUACCACGCGAGUGGAUGCCAAUCCCAAAAACCUCUCUCAGUUCGGACUGGAGUCUGCAACCCGACUCCACGAAGCUGGAUUCGCUAGUAAUCGCGCAUCAGCCACGGCGCGGUGAAUACGUUCCCGGGCCUUGUACACACCGCCCGUCAAGCCAUGGGAGCCGGGGGUACCUGAAGUGCGUAACCGCGAGGAGCGCCCUAGGGUAAAACUGGUGACUGGGGCU
rnacentral:rRNA from 1 species